AACUUAAAGGAAUUGACGGGGGAGCACUACACGGGUGGAGCCUGCGGUUUAAUUGGAUUCAACGCCGGAAUCUCACCGGGGGCGACAGCAAUAUGAAGGUCAGGCUGAAGACCUUACCCGAUUAGCUGAGAGGUGGUGCAUGGCCGUCGUCAGUUCGUACUGUGAAGCAUCCUGUUAAGUCAGGCAACGAGCGAGACCCACGUCCACAGUUGCCAGCAUACCCUCCGGGGUGAUGGGUACACUGUGGAGACCGCCGCUGCUAAAGCGGAGGAAGGAGUGGGCAACGGUAGGUCAGUAUGCCCCGAAUCUCCCGGGCUACACGCGGGCUACAAUGGUUGGUACAAUGGGCAUCUACCCCGAAAGGGGAAGGAAAUCUCUUAAAGCCAAUCGUAGUUCGGAUUGAGGGCUGCAACUCGCCCUCAUGAAGCUGGAAUCCGUAGUAAUCGCGUUUCAACAGAACGCGGUGAAUACGUCCCUGCUCCUU
rnacentral:rRNA from 1 species